rnacentral:rRNA from 1 species
UACGUAGGGCGCAAGCGUUGUCCGGAAUUAUUGGGCGUAAAGAGCUCGUAGGCGGCCUGUCGCGUCUGCUGUGAAAUCCCGGGGCUUAACCCCGGGCGUGCAGUGGAUACGGGCUGGCUGGAGGCAGGCAGGGGAGAACGGAAUUCCCGGUGUAGCGGUGAAAUGCGCAGAUAUCGGGAGGAACACCGGUGGCGAAGGCGGGUCUCUGGGCCGAUACUGACGCUGAGGAGCGAAAGCGUGGGGAGCGAACAGG